rnacentral:rRNA from 1 species
AUUGAACGCUGGCGGCAGGCCUAACACAUGCAAGUCGAGCGAGCGGCGGACGGGUGAGUAAUGUCUGGGAAACUGCAUGAUGGAGGGGGAUAACUACUGGAAACGGUAGCUAAUACCGCAUACCAUCAGACGUGACCAGAUGGGAUUAGCUAGUAGGUGGGGUAACGGCUCCCCUAGGCGACGAUCCCUCGCUGGUCUGAGAGGAUGACCAGCCAAACUGGAACUGAGACACGGUCCAGACUCCUACGUGAGGCAGCAGUGGGGAAUAUUGCACAAUGGGCGAAAGCCUGAUGCAGCCAGGCCGCGUGUGUGAAGAAGGCCUGCGGGUUGUAAAGCACGUGCAGCGGGGAGGCGUUACCCGCAGAAGAAGCACCGGCUAACGCCGUGCCAGCAGCGGCGGUAAUAC